CUUUGCAUCAGGUUGCUGCUGGCUCGAUAGCAGCUCGCAGCGCCGGUUCGACGGCAACGACUCCACGGCGGUCUGACGGCGAUGGUGAUGACGAGGUGCAGCGAAGCUGGCGGCGCACGUCGCGAUGACGGUGGCGACGCUCCUCACUCGCGCGAGCUUCCCCUGCUCCGUGACACGCUCUCCUCGCUCCUCCUCCAUCGGCGAAGACAGCGGCGCGACGAGCAGCAGGGACUCGCCGGCACGCUCUCCCCCUUUCUUCUCCCUCCUGAUUCGCACCCU